UACGAAGGGUGCAAGCGUUACUCGGAAUUACUGGGCGUAAAGCGUGCGUAGGUGGUUUGUUAAGUCUGAUGUGAAAGCCCUGGGCUCAACCUGGGAACUGCAUUGGAAACUGGCUGACUAGAGUGCGGUAGAGGGGUGUGGAAUUCCCGGUGUAGCAGUGAAAUGCGUAGAUAUCGGGAGGAACAUCUGUGGCGAAGGCGACACCCUGGACCAGCACUGACACUGAGGCACGAAAGCGUGGGGAGCAAACGGG
rnacentral:rRNA from 1 species